AAGAAAAAAAUUUGGGUUCAGUGUCCCUUUAACAGCACUAAGGUGAACUCAGCCUAUGUAGUUUAUUAACCUGUGACCUGAGUGAACACCCAAGAGAAGCUUACAUUUUUUUCAAUAGGCCCAAAGGGUGGAAUUAAAAAAGUAAAAAAAUCUUAAAAUCUACAGGUCUAAUGGUUUGGAAUGCUAGAGUUAAAUUGCCCACGUAAGGCAAGAUUACAAGUGGCGCACUUAUAAUAUUAAAUCAGAUUUACCAGAGAAGUUUUAGCACUGCCCUCAUCGCUCUAGCGUACCCAUUAUUUUCAGUGGAUAUCGGGACUGUGCUAAAUAGCGCUGAUAUUACAAGUCGAAAGUUAUAAGUUGCGAUCAAGUAGAAGCCUAAAUAGUGCUAAAGGAAUGAACGCGACUUGAGAUCUGACAAAGUAUAAGGGUUAAAAAAUAAAAAUAAUUUUAUCUUCUAAGUAAAGAACAUAGGAAUGUAAAGUAUUCCUAACACACCUUCGGCUUUAGCGCAGUUGGUCUAGCACAAUUUCAGCUUAGCACAUGAGCAAUAAAUAGAAGAGGCUUUCUUUAGUGCACCCCAUAGAAGUCUAUAGGGAGCGGGAGGACAGUAAGGACAAUUGCAAUAUCUUGAAGUUAGCGCAUGUGCUAGCAAUUUACUUUUAACAUGUAAUAGCAGUGCUGUGUUGUUCAGCUGUAUGAUGUACUGAAAUGAUCCACAAAGUUCUUUUAAAUCAACUUAUUUUUUAUUUCUGAGCCCUGACACCUGAGCUGCUUUCUGUCUGCUGAGCUCUUCCUGACUGCUCAGAGCUGAGCACUUCCUGGGGCAUCAGUUCCCUUCCUGUUAUCUGACCCUUAUGCAUCUGCAUUACAGGCUCAGCUCAGCCUAAGUGCUAACCCAACAGCGCUAUGUUUACCUUGCGUGCAGUUAGUGGUCAUGAGUGAUAAUCAAAUUAGUCCGCCGCUUGUAAUCUGGUCCAUAUAAAGGUAUAGGAGUAUAAUCAUACCAUAAAUGCAUUUCAAACACUUAAUAUAAAUGUAUAAUUAAACACAAAAUUCUAACUCUGACAAACAAGGCCCUCAAUUGCACUGCUUCCCCUAUAUCUCAGACCUUCUCACUCUCCCUCCCAUCCCCUUUGCUAUGCUCACGACCUCUUCCUCUCUUGUUACCUCCUCACAUUCCCACAUACAGGACUUCUUCAGACUGUCCCCUAUUUUGUGGACCUCUCUGCCUUGCUCCCCUAGUUUUGAUUUGAAAGUUUCAAGAGCUCCUUAAAGACUCUACUGUCCAGGGAUGCAUACGACCUGCACUAACCUUAUCUAACCUCAGUUCAUCUCCUCCUUUGUUAUCCCCUUGAACCCCCUUAGCAUGGGCCCAGCUGUUUGUAGAUCACCUUCAUAAGAGCUGACAACAGAGCAACUCUCGGCCGGGCCCUCUACCAACUGUUUCCCUAUAAAUGGUACCUGCAUAUCAUACCUUUGUUUAUAGCGCUGCCGAAUCUGUUGGCGUUCUACAAAUAACUGAUAAUAAUAAUAUUAAUAUAAUCAAAGGUUUUUCAAACAGAUUGGAAUAGUUAAAAAUUUGAAAGCCCCACCAAAAGCCAUGGGAGACACUUUCCAUGGAAAUUCUAAUGGACUGGAAAUUUGGAAUGGCUCAAAUUAUAUUUAAAUGUCAUGAAUUUACAGUUAUUACUUUUAUCAUAGAUAUUUGGAUUAGGAACCUAAAAUAAGCUCUGCUUGAAACAGAACCGUUUAAAUCAGUUCUCAUAUUUUCACUUUUCUUAUUCCUAUUUAUUCUUCUAAACAGAACCCAAGGGGAGCAACAAUGUCAGCAUUUUGAUUGGUCUAAUGGUUGCUGUUGUCGCUCUGGUCAUCAUUGCUGUUGUAGGAACAUAUAGAUACAGGAAUGCAGGUCAACACCAAAGAGUGAACAUUCAGGAGCAAGAGUAAAGAACUGGACCAUUAAUAUUGAUAAUCUGCAUAUGUGGAUUAUGUUUGCCUUAACCCCUUCAUGUGUGGUACAUUAAUGUAUAUGUCUGAAGGCCUAAUAUUCAAUACCUUAGAAACACAAAUUUUAUCUUAAGAGAUGUUUAUAUCUCCCUUUUAAAUCUUGACUACAAGAUCUUAAUGAAAAUCUUGGUGGACAAAUUAAAACUAAUUUUGCCUAAACUUCUUCAUCCAGAUCAGGUGGGCUUUGUGAUGGGCAGAACUUCUGAACUUAAUAUAAGGAAGAUCCAAAACAUCAUUUGUCAGUAUAGUGAAGAGAUGGGGAAGGUAGUGUUCCCUGCUCUGCCGGAGGCUUUCCUGCUGUCUUUGGAUGCAGAGAAGGUAUUUGACAGAGUAGAGUGGGAUUUCAUGUGUAAAGCUCUAGUAAAUUUUGGGUUCAGUGGUAACUUUCUGAACUUUGUCUCUAAUGUUUAUUCAGAAGUCACUGCUACUUUAUUAAUUAAUAAUUAUAUAUCAUGUUCUUUCCCUCUAUAUAGAGGGACUAGACAGGGAUGUCUGAUGAUACCACUUCUUUUUAAUUUGAUCUUAGAACCCUUGGCUAUGAGGCUGAGGAAUAGUAUAAUGGGUCAUGGAAUUGGUAAGGACUUUUUUCAGAUUUAAGUUUUUGCAGACGACCUACUGGUGUGUAUAACUACUCCAGAUAAGCAAAUAACUGGGAUUAUAAAUCAACUCAAAAAGUAUAAUACAGAUUUCCGGAUAUAAAUUUCUAUGGUUUAAGAAAAUUAACCUAGAUCGGCCAUAUCCAUUCACAGAAACAGCAUUGUUAAAAUAUUUGGGCCUACAUUUGUCGGCUUCCCCUAAUAAUUGGUAUGAAAAAAUAAUUACUGUUGUAAUCUUUAAAUUGAGAACUUGGGUAAAACUCCCCCUCUCGCUGUCUGGAAGAGUUGCAUCCUUUAAAAUGUUUAUUUUACCCAGAAUAUUGUACACUCUUCUUAUGCUUCCUUUAUUAAUCAAUAAUCAAGGUAUAAAAAGAUUUUUAAAAGCCUUGAGAAAUUUUCUCUGGCAAGGCAGAAAGGCCAGGAUUACAAUGGGGAAGUUAUUCCUACCCUAUAAUAGGGGAGGUUGGCUUUAUCUAACUUAAAGUUAUGCAACUAUACAAUCCUUUUGAGAUCACAUUUAGACUGGCUAUUUCAAUCUUGUAAAUAUACAAGCCACAGUAUGGAUGAUAGAAUAUGUGAACAGUUUUCUUUAAACUUCAUUCAUCAUGCUUUCAAUACGGAUAUAUUUAUUCACAUUCAUUAAUGAGAGAUGUUCUUGUGGCCUGGAGAGCCUUGAUUAAACUUAUUCUGGGUCUAGAGUACAGAACUUCUACAUAGCUCCCCUUACUUGGCAAUAACCAUUUUUUACCAGGCCUCCAUAACAAAUGAUUUUAGACUUGGAAAGAUAAACAUGUGACCAACAUAGGGCACUUGGUUGCUUUUUCAAGCAUUUAUAUAUACAAAUUUGAAGAAUUUCAAAGGAAAUAUAAGGUCUCUAAUAUUAAUAGAUUCUACUUUAUGCAAGCUAAAUAUUAGCUAACUCAACUGAUUAAAGCCUCUCCUAUUUUUUUCAAAAACAUCCUUAAUAAGAUCCUCUGAAGGUUAAGGGAGGAUCUUUAUUAUCUAUUUAUAUGAUACUGUUAUUUACUCUAGAGGAGGAUUGGUAAAUGAUUUCAGCGCUAAAUCUGAUAAACUUCUUUCUACUUCAAACAAUGAUAUGAUUCUACAAAAAAGCCUGAUCACUACAAAACAUUUAACAAAUUCUGCUAAAGUCAGAGAGUCCCAAUUUAGACGUAUUCAUCAUGACUAUAUUACGCCUAGAAGAGCACAGAAAUGGAAAAAGGAAAUUAAAAAUAUAUGUAUGAAGUGCUCAGCUUGUAAUCCUAAUAUAUUACAUUUAAUGUUUAAUGUUUAAUUGUCCUAGACUGAUCCAAUUAAGGGCAAAAGUGGAAUAUUUCUUUUCAUGCAUACUUGGUAUUAAAAUCUCUCUCUCAAGAGAAACCAUAAUAUUCAUUACCAGAAAGCCUCUACGGAGAUCCAACAACAAAUUUAUUCAGUUGGCGAUUCUAAGGAUUAGAUUUGUUAUUUUUAAUAACUGGAUUUUUGAGAAAAUUUCCUUCAAUUGAAAAGUAAAAAAUCCUCUAUCUAAAUAAGCAAUUCUGAAAGCGUAUGAUUAUAAGAUAUACAAAACAAAUAGUUUAAAUAACUAUGUCAAAACAUAGGGGACAUGCAUAAUAUUCAUGGGUACUGAAUACAAAAUUCAAAUAAAUGAGAUAGUUACAGUGUAGGAGGUUAAAUGGAUUUAAGCUUUGCAGUGGUUUGGGGAUGGAGAAGGGGGCGGGGAGCGAGAGGAUUCCCUCCUUGCUCCCUUUUUUAUUGUCUCUUCUUGAAAAAUUUACAAAAGGUACACAAACACAGAAUUCUGAACAUAACUGUACUGAUUAUUGAUUUUGAAAUAUACAUACUGUAAAGUAGUAUAAAAUAUAAUGGAUUUCAUAAGUUCCGUGUAUGUAAUAUCUUUUUUUUUUCUUUUAGUUUUGUAAAUAGGCUCUGGAAUCUAUUUUUAUAAUUGAUUAUUCUAUAUCCUGACACAGAAAUCUUAAAUUUUUGUAAUAAAAUAAGAGAAAAAAAUAAAUAAAUAAGAAAUGUA